rnacentral:tRNA from 1 species
GGGCCGGUAGAUCAGUCCGGAAAAUAUUUGGACAAUAGAUCGCGCGCUCGGCAUGCGCGAGGCCGUGGGUUCGAAUCCCGCCCGGUCCA